ACACUAACUGGAGGACCGAACCGACUAAUGUUGAAAAAUUAGCGGAUGACCUGUGGCUGGGGGUGAAAGGCCAAUCAAACCGGGAGAUAGCUGGUUCUCCCCGAAAGCUAUUUAGGUAGCGCCUCGUGAAUUCAUCUCCGGGGGUAGAGCACUGUUUCGGCUAGGGGGCCAUCCCGGCUUACCAACCCGAUGCAAACUGCGAAUACCGGAGAAUGUUAUCACGGGAGACACACGGCGGGUGCUAACGUCCGUCGUGAAGAGGGAAACAACCCAGACCGCCAGCUAAGGUCCCAAAGUCAUGGUUAAGUGGGAAACGAUGUGGGAAGGCCCAGACAGCCAGGAUGUUGGCUUAGAAGCAGCCAUCAUUUAAAGAAAGCGUAAUAGCUCACUGGUCGAGUCGGCCUGCGCGGAAGAUGUAACGGGGCUAAACCAUGCACCGAAGCUGCGGCAGCGACACUGUGUGUUGUUGGGUAGGGGAGCGUUCUGUAAGCCUGUGAAGGUGUGUCGUGAGGCAUGCUGGAGGUAUCAGAAGUGCGAAUGCUGACAUAAGUAACGAUAAAGCGGGUGAAAAGCCCGCUCGCCGGAAGACCAAGGGUUCCUGUCCAACGUUAAUCGGGGCAGGGUGAGUCGACCCCUAAGGCGAGGCCGAAAGGCGUAGUCGAUGGGAAACGGGUUAAUAUUCCCGUACUUGGUGUUACUGCGAAGGGGGGACGGAGAAGGCUAUGUUGGCCGGGCGACGGUUGUCCCGGUUUAAGCGUGUAGGUGUGUGUUCCAGGUAAAUCCGGUUCACUUUAACACUGAGGCGUGACGACGAGGCACUACGGUGCUGAAGCAACAAAUGCCCUGCUUCCAGGAAAAGCCUCUAAGCAUCAGGUAACAUCAAAUCGUACCCCAAACCGACACAGGUGGUCAGGUAGAGAAUACCAAGGCGCUUGAGAGAACUCGGGUGAAGGAACUAGGCAAAAUGGUGCCGUAACUUCGGGAGAAGGCACGCUGACACGUAGGUGAAGUGAUUUACUCAUGGAGCUGAAGUCAGUCGAAGAUACCAGCUGGCUGCAACUGUUUAUUAAAAACACAGCACUGUGCAAACACGAAAGUGGACGUAUACGGUGUGACGCCUGCCCGGUGCCGGAAGGUUAAUUGAUGGGGUCAGCGCAAGCGAAGCUCCUGAUCGAAGCCCCGGUAAACGGCGGCCGUAACUAUAACGGUCCUAAGGUAGCGAAAUUCCUUGUCGGGUAAGUUCCGACCUGCACGAAUGGCGUAAUGAUGGCCAGGCUGUCUCCACCCGAGACUCAGUGAAAUUGAACUCGCUGUGAAGAUGCAGUGUACCCGCGGCAAGACGGAAAGACCCCGUGAACCUUUACUAUAGCUUGACACUGAACAUUGAGCCUUGAUGUGUAGGAUAGGUGGGAGGCUUUGAAGUGUGGACGCCAGUCUGCAUGGAGCCGACCUUGAAAUACCACCCUUUAAUGUUUGAUGUUCUAACGUGGACCCGUUACCCGGGUUGCGGACAGUGUCUGGUGGGUAGUUUGACUGGGGCGGUCUCCUCCUAAAGAGUAACGGAGGAGCACGAAGGUUGGCUAAUCCUGGUCGGACAUCAGGAGGUUAGUGCAAUGGCAUAAGCCAGCUUGACUGCGAGCGUGACGGCGCGAGCAGGUGCGAAAGCAGGUCAUAGUGAUCCGGUGGUUCUGAAUGGAAGGGCCAUCGCUCAACGGAUAAAAGGUACUCCGGGGAUAACAGGCUGAUACCGCCCAAGAGUUCAUAUCGACGGCGGUGUUUGGCACCUCGAUGUCGGCUCAUCACAUCCUGGGGCUGAAGUAGGUCCCAAGGGUAUGGCUGUUCGCCAUUUAAAGUGGUACGCGAGCUGGGUUUAGAACGUCGUGAGACAGUUCGGUCCCUAUCUGCCGUGGGCGCUGGAGAACUGAGGGGGGCUGCUCCUAGUACGAGAGGACCGGAGUGGACGCAUCACUGGUGUUCGGGUUGUCAUGCCAAUGGCACUGCCCGGUAGCUAAAUGCGGAAGAGAUAAGUGCUGAAAGCAUCUAAGCACGAAACUUGCCCCGA
rnacentral:rRNA from 3 species